rnacentral:rRNA from 1 species
GUUGACCUCGGAUCAGGUAGGAAUACCCGCUGAACUUAAGCAUAUCAAUAAGCGGAGGAAAAGAAACCAACAGGGAUUGCCCUAGUAACGGCGAGUGAAGCGGCAACAGCUCAAAUUUGAAAUCUGGCCCUCGGGUCCGAGUUGUAAUUUGUAGAGGAUGCUUUUGGCGCGGUGCCUUCCGAGUUCUCUGGAACGAGACGCCUUAGAGGGUGAGAGCCCCGUACGGUUGGACACCAAGCCUCUGUAAAGCUCCUUCGACGAGUCGAGUAGUUUGGGAAUGCUGCUCUAAAUGGGAGGUAAAUUUCUUCUAAAGCUAAAUAUUGGCCAGAGACCGAUAGCGCACAAGUAGAGUGAUCGAAAGAUGAAAAGCACUUUGAAAAGAGGGUUAAAUAGCACGUGAAAUUGUUGAAAGGGAAGCGUUUGCGACCAGACCUUUUCCUAGCGGAUCAUCCGGUGUUCUCACCGGUGCACUUCGCUAGGUCGAGGCCAGCAUCGGUUUUCGUAGGGGGAUAAAAGCCUUGGGAACGUAGCUCCUUCGGGAGUGUUAUAGCCCUUGGCAUAAUACCCUUACGGGGACCGAGGACCGCGCCUUUAUGGCAAGGAUGCUGGCGUAAUGGUCGUCAACGACCCGUCUUGAAACACGGACCAAGGAGUCGAACAUUUGUGCGAGUGUUUGGGUGUUAAACCCUCACGCGUAAUGAAAGUGAACGGAGGUGAGAGCCCUUACGGGUGCAUCAUCGACCGAUCCUGAUGUCUUCGGAUGGAUUUGAGUAAGAGCAUAACUGUUCGGACCCGAAAGAUGGUGAACUAUGCGUGGAUAGGGUGAAGCCAGAGGAAACUCUGGUGGAGGCUCGCAGCGGUUCUGACGUGCAAAUCGAUCGUCAAAUCUGCGCAUGGGGGGCGAAAGACUUAUCGAACCAUCUAGUAGCUGGUUACCGCCG